rnacentral:rRNA from 1 species
CACGCUGUAAACGAUGGAUGCUAGGUGUCGGGGCCUUGAGCUUCGGUGCCGCAGCUAACGCGUUAAGCAUCCCGCCUGGGGAGUACGGUCGCAAGGCUGAAACUCAAAGAAAUUGACGGGGGCCCGCACAAGCGGUGGAGUAUGUGGUUUAAUUCGAUGCAACGCGAAGAACCUUACCCAGGCUUGACAUCCGGGAAACCCUCCCGAAAAGGAGGGGUGCUCUUCGGAGAAUCCCGAGACAGGUGC